AUGUUCCUGUGCAUUCUGAUUCUGCUGUCAAUAAUACAGGAUGAAUGCUUUGCAAAGACAGUAACACCACUGCAGGACAGAACACAAGUUACUGAGGGUAAGCCAGUCAAUCUGACAUGCACAUAUGAUGGCAGUGUACAGAGUUUACUUUGGUAUCGACAAUAUCCUGGAUCUGGACUGGAAUUUCUGCUCCUUGUCGUUGAGUCAUCCACGAAGUCUGUAGUAUAUGCAGAUCCCCCUAUUCCUAGACUGGAUGGUGAAAUGAGUAUGAAAGACAAGCGAGUGGAUCUGAUCAUCUCCUCUGCUGAAGUGACAGACUCUGCUCUGUACUACUGUGCCCUGGUGCCCACAGUGAGAGAAAACACAACACCGCUGUACAAAAACCUCCAACCAUACUCCAUGUGUAAUACACAAAUGGUGUUGAAAUUAAAUCACUAUUUCAAAUAA